rnacentral:misc_RNA from 1 species
GUAUUUAGAAUUAAGUAUUCAUAAUAUUUUUCAGACAAAGUGGUUCAAAAUAAAAAAGGUUGGUAUAAAUGUCAGACUCCCGAGAGAGUCUAACAAACAUUGCACACAAGGUGAGUACUAUUUUUAAAAAGUGCAGUAGAACACUUAUUAUGAAUGAUCCUUCCGCAGGUUCACCUACGGAAA